rnacentral:tRNA from 1 species
GCCGACUUAGCUCAGUUGGUAGAGCGGCUGAUUUGUAAUCAGCAGGUCGCGGGUUCAACUCCUGCAGUCGGCACCA